rnacentral:rRNA from 1 species
AGCGAACGCUGGCGGUAGGCCUAACACAUGCAAGUCGAACGAAGUCUUCGGACUUAGUGGCGGACGGGUGAGUAACACGUGGGAACGUGCCUUUAGGUUCGGAAUAACUCAGGGAAACUUGUGCUAAUACCGAAUGUGCCCUUCGGGGGAAAGAUUUAUCGCCUUUAGAGCGGCCCGCGUCUGAUUAGCUAGUUGGUGAGGUAAAGGCUCACCAAGGCGACGAUCAGUAGCUGGUCUGAGAGGAUGAUCAGCCACAUUGGGACUGAGACACGGCCCAAACUCCUACGGGAGGCAGCAGUGGGGAAUCUUGCGCAAUGGGCGAAAGCCUGACGCAGCCAUGCCGCGUGAAUGAUGAAGGUCUUAGGAUUGUAAAAUUCUUUCACCGGGGACGAUAAUGACGGUACCCGGAGAAGAAGCCCCGGCUAACUUCGUGCCAGCCGCCGCUGUAAUAC